rnacentral:rRNA from 1 species
CCUACGGGUGGCUGCAGUGAGGAAUAUUGGUCAAUGGACGAGAGUCUGAACCAGCCACGUAGCGUGAAGGAUGACUGCCUUAUGGGUUGUAAACUUCUUUUAUAUGGGAGUAAAAUGGUCCAUGUGUGGGAUUUUGUAUGUACCAUAUGAAUAAGGAUCGGCUAACUCCGUGCCAGCAGCCGCGGUAAUACGGAGGAUGCGAGCGUUAAACGGAUUUAUUGGGUUGAAAGGGCGCGUAGGUGGAUUGUUAAGUCAGUUGUGAAAGUUUGCGGCUCAACCGUAAAAUUGCAGUUGAAACUGGCAGUCUUGAGUACAGUAGAGGUGGGCGGAAUUCGUGGUGUAGCGGUGAAAUGCUUAGAUAUCACGAAGAACUCCGAUUGCGAAGGCAGUUCACUGGACUGCAACUGACACUGAGGCUCGAAAGUGUGGGUAUCAAACAGGAUUAGAUACCCUUGUAGUC